AUUGAACGCUGGCGGCGUGCCUAACACAUGCAAGUCGAGCGGCAGCGCGGGAGCAAUCCUGGCGGCGAGCGGCGGACGGGUGAGUAACGCUUGGGAAUCUGCCUAUCAGUGGGGGACAACCCGGGGAAACUCGGGCUAAUACCGCAUACGAUCUAUGGAUGAAAGCCGGGGACCGCAAGGCCUGGCGCUGAUAGAUGAGCCCAAGUCGGAUUAGCUAGUUGGUAGGGUAACGGCCUACCAAGGCGACGAUCCGUAACUGGUCUGAGAGGACGACCAGUCACACCGGAACUGAGACACGGUCCGGACUCCUACGGGAGGCAGCAGUGGGGAAUAUUGGACAAUGGGGGCAACCCUGAUCCAGCGACGCCGCGUGGGUGAAGAAGGCCUGCGGGUUGUAAAGCCCUUUCGGUGGGGAAGAAAAGUUUCGACCUAACACGUCGGGACCUUGAC
rnacentral:rRNA from 1 species